rnacentral:rRNA from 1 species
UACGAAGGGGGCUAGCGUUGUUCGGAAUCACUGGGCGUAAAGGGCGCGUAGGCGGCUAUUCAAGUCGGGGGUGAAAGCCUGUGGCUCAACCACAGAAUUGCCUUCGAUACUGUUUGGCUUGAGACCGGAAGAGGUAAGUGGAACUGCGAGUGUAGAGGUGAAAUUCGUAGAUAUUCGCAAGAACACCAGUGGCGAAGGCGGCUCACUGGCCCGGUACUGACGCUGAGGUGCGAAAGCGUGGGGAGCAAACAGG